AUGGCUCAGAUUGAACGCUGGCGGCAGGCCUAACACAUGCAAGUCGAGCGGAAACGAUGGAAGCUUGCUUCCAGGCGUCGAGCGGCGGACGGGUGAGUAAUGCAUGGGAAUCUGCCCGAUAGUGGGGGAUAACCUGGGGAAACCCAGGCUAAUACCGCAUACGUCCUACGGGAGAAAGCAGGGGAUCUUCGGACCUUGCGCUAUCGGAUGAGCCCAUGUCGGAUUAGCUUGUUGGUGAGGUAAUGGCUCACCAAGGCGACGAUCCGUAGCUGGUCUGAGAGGAUGAUCAGCCACAUCGGGACUGAGACACGGCCCGAACUCCUACGGGAGGCAGCAGUGGGGAAUAUUGGACAAUGGGCGAAAGCCUGAUCCAGCCAUGCCGCGUGUGUGAAGAAGGCCCUCGGGUUGUAAAGCACUUUCAGUGGGGAAGAAAGCCUUGGGAUUAAUACUCCCGAGGAAGGACAUCACCCACAGAAGAAGCACCGGCUAACUCCGUGCCAGCAGCCGCGGUAAUACGGAGGGUGCGAGCGUUAAUCGGAAUUACUGGGCGUAAAGCGCGCGUAGGCGGUCUGAUAAGCCGGUUGUGAAAGCCCCGGGCUCAACCUGGGAACGGCAUCCGGAACUGUCAGGCUAGAGUGCAGGAGAGGAAGGUAGAAUUCCCGGUGUAGCGGUGAAAUGCGUAGAGAUCGGGAGGAAUACCAGUGGCG
rnacentral:rRNA from 1 species